rnacentral:rRNA from 1 species
UACAGAGGGUGCAAGCGUUAAUCGGAAUUACUGGGCGUAAAGCGUGCGUAGACGGUUGUAUAAGUCGGAUGUGAAAGCCCCGGGCUCAACCUGGGAAUUGCAUUCGAGACUGUGCAGCUAGGAUGCGGAAGAGGGAAGCGGAAUUUCCGGUGUAGCGGUGAAAUGCGUAGAUAUCGGAAGGAACACCAGUGGCGAAAGCGGCUCCUGGUCCAGCAUCGACGUUCAGGCACGAAAGCGUGGGAGCAAACAGG